rfam:Myotis lucifugus cont2.23396, whole genome shotgun sequence.
AGACACCCUUCUGGGGCAAGACUUGCUUCAGUGGGGCUUUGGUGCUCACUGAGUCUGCCCCCUGAGUGUGACCCU